GCCGUGAUAGCUCAGUUGGGAGAGCGUUAGACUGUACAUCCAAAGGUCCCUGGUUCGAUCCCGGGUCGCGGCA